GACGAACGCUGGCGGCGUGCCUAAUACAUGCAAGUCGAGCGGAGAAAUGGGAGCUUGCUCCCAUUUCUCAGCGGCGGACGGGUGAGUAACACGUGGGCAACGUGCCCUACAGACUGGCAUAACUCCGGGAAACCGGAGCUAAUACCGGGUAAUACAUAGCAUCGCAUGAUGCAACGUUGAAAGUUGGCCUUUGGCUAACACUGUAGGAUGGGCCCGCGGCGCAUUAGCUAGUUGGUAAGGUAACGGCUUACCAAGGCCACGAUGCGUAGCCGACCUGAGAGGGUGAUCGGCCACACUGGGACUGAGACACGGCCCAGACUCCUACGGGAGGCAGCAGUAGGGAAUCUUCCGCAAUGGACGAAAGUCUGACGGAGCAACGCCGCGUGAGUGACGAAGGCCUUCGGGUCGUAACGCUCUGUUGUUAGGGAAGAACAAGUACCGUUCGAAUAGGGCGGUACCUUGACGGUACCUAACCAGAAAGCCACGGCUAACUACGUGCCAGCAGCCGCGGUAAUACGUAGGUGGCAAGCGUUGUCCGGAAUUAUUGGGCGUAAAGCGCGCGCAGGCGGUCUCUUAAGUCUGAUGUGAAAGCCCACGGCUCAACCGUGGAGGGCCAUUGGAAACUGGGGGACUUGAGUGCAGAAGAGGAGAGUGGAAUUCCACGUGUAGCGGUGAAAUGCGUAGAUAUGUGGAGGAACACCAGUGGCGAAGGCGGCUCUCUGGUCUGUAACUGACGCUGAGGCGCGAAAGCGUGGGGAGCRAACAGGAUUAGAUACCCUGGUAGUCCACGCCGUAAACGAUGAGUGCUAGGUGUUGGGGGGUUCCACCCUCAGUGCUGAAGUUAACACAUUAAGCACUCCGCCUGGGGAGUACGACCGCAAGGUUGAAACUCAAAGGAAUUGACGGGGGCCCGCACAAGCAGUGGAGCAUGUGG
rnacentral:rRNA from 1 species